AACAUCGCGCACCUGCGGGAACCUGCGGAGGGAUCAUUACAGAGUUGCAAAGCUCCCUAAACCAUUGUGAACGUUACCUAAACCGUUGCUUCGGCGGGCGGCCCGGGUCCUUCCCGGCGCCCCUCGGCCCUCGCGGGCGCCCGCCGGAGGUAAACCAAACUAUUGCAUUGUAUGGCCUCUCUGAGUCUUCUGUACUGAAUAAGUCAAAACUUUUAACAACGGAUCUCAGAUCGGAAGAGC
rnacentral:misc_RNA from 1 species